GGAAGAGGCUCUGGGCUGGCGCAUGUUGAUGAUGACAGCCUCUUCAUCUAUGACUGCAGUGCUGCAGAAAAGAAGUCACAAGAAAAUAAAGGGGAGGACGCGCCCUUGGACCAGGGGAGCGGUGCGAUUCUGGCGUCCACCUUCUCCAAGUCUGGCAGCUAUUUUGCUUUAACCGAUGACAGACCGUGGCAAGGAGGUGUACAGCCCUGACCUUCAUAGCCUCGGAGGAGAAGGUCUUGGUGGCCGACAAGUCUGGAGACGUCUACUCCUUUUCGGUGCUGGAGCCACACGGGUGUGGCCGUCUAGAGCUGGGGCACCUGUCUAUGCUGUUAGAUGUGGCUGUGAGUGCUGAUGACCGCUUCAUCCUCACUGCCGACCGGGACGAGAAGAUCCGAGUCAGCUGGGCCGCGGCGCCCCAUAGCAUCGAGUCCUUCUGCUUGGGGCACACAGAGUUUGUGAGCCGCAUCUUCGUGGUGCCAACUCAGCCCGGGCUGCUUCUGUCCUCCUCUGGGGACGGCACCCUGAGGCUCUGGGAGUACAGGAGCGGCCGCCAGCUGCACUGCUGUCACCUGGCCAGUCUGCAGGAGCUGGUGGACCCCCAGGCCCCCC
rnacentral:sRNA from 1 species